GACGUAGGUGGCGAACGUUAUCCGGAAUUAUUGGGCGUAAAGGGUGCGUAGGUGGCCUGACAAGUUAUCAGUGGCAAAUCGAGGCUCAACCUCGUGGAAACUGGUAAUACUGUCCGGCUUGAGUACAGGAGAGGUUAACGGAACUCUAUGUGGAGCGGUAAAAUGCACAGAUAUAUAGAAGAACAACAAUAAAGGCGAAGGCAGUUAACUAUUCUGUUACUGACGCUGAGGCACGAAAGCGUGGGGAGCAAAACGG
rnacentral:rRNA from 1 species